UUGGAAAAACCACUUUAAAAAUCAAUUUUUUUUUGUUGGUGGACGGUGCUGCAGCUGCUCCUUAAAUCCUUUCGGAGAGGGUGUGGACGUAGAGAUAUUUAAUAUAUUUCUAUUUAAAAAUCAAUGUUCCAUGGUUUGUUAUUUCGCAUCCAACAGGUGAAUUUGGAAUUUUAGGGGGAGAGGAUUAAACUGCUCGGGGGUGAAAAAUAGAAUUUUAAAAAAAAAAAAAAAAAAAACCCUGCAGCGCAUGAACCAAGGGGAAUAUUUAAAAAUAAUUAUAAAAAACACACAAAAGUUGUAUUUGUAGAUUGUUAUUAAAGUGCAAAUAACUGAAUUUUCAACACUGGUUUGGAGUCAGCUUUCAGGGCAUAAUGUGAUGAAAAGAUCAGCCUAUGCCCCCCCUUUUAAAGGAAAAUUAUCAGCAGGAGAAAUCAGGAUGUGUAAACCGCAAAGCCCAAAAAAAGGUAACCUAAAUGUCUGAUUUUAAUAUAGCACAUUUCUCUUUUCCAUAAACCUGUGACGUAAACUUUUUACCCAGCCGACCCUUCAGGUGUUAAUUUAAUGUAAAAAGGGGAAAAAAAAACCCACCAAAAAAAAAAAAAAAAUUUUAAAUAUAAACGUUUAAACCGACCCACGUGGCAUAAAUUAGCAAUAACUUUUAAUAAUGUGCCCUUGGCAGAUGCACUGGGAUGGAAUGUGGGCCAAAAUUUAAAUAUCCUGGAUUUUUUAAAGGAUAAAAGAUGUAAAAUGCACAUGAAUCCAAGCUAGUCCUGCUACUGCCAAAACAACAACAAAAAACCCAAAAAAACCCCAAAUUCUGCUCAGUUGUUUGAAAAUACCAAUUUUUAGCCCCCCCAGAAUUGCUGUUUCCUGUGAAAUGUCCAUAGCUCAGCUGAAGUUGCAUGUUUUUCCUUCAUGUGUAAUUGCAUGCAGGAAUCUCUUUCUUUCCUUUCCCUUUUUUUUUUUUUUAAUUUUUUAAUUUUUUUAUCUUUUAAUCUCUUUGUCAGGAUCCUCACGAUUUUUUUCUUUGAUUUGCAGGAAUUUUGGGGCUGUGAGUCAACGGGGUGAGGAGGAGGAGGAGGAGCAGGGCCAGCGCCAGCUGGGCCCAGCUUUUAGAUCAAGUGGAAAAGAUUUGCUAGAGAAUCAUCUCUUAGGAAGCAAUUUAUUCCCAAAUGGAUCUGGUGAUGCUGCCUUUGGAAUAACCCAGCUCGUGCCUUGUUUUUUUUUGUGGGAUGGUGAUGGGAAAGGAUGGAAAUGUGAAUAUAUUGAAACAACUGGAUGUGCUGGGAGUGUUUUUCAAGCAUUCCUUGGAUCAGACAGCUCCUUCCCCCCUUCCUUCCCUCUCCCAGCACUUUUCCAGGCAGGAUUUAACCCCGGAGGCUGCCAGAGCCCACCUGAGAUCCCAAAAUAACCCCCCAGCAUUGGAAUCAGCCAGACAUUCCAGGGU
rnacentral:lncRNA from 1 species